rnacentral:rRNA from 1 species
UACGAAGGGGGCUAGCGUUGUUCGGAAUCACUGGGCGUAAAGGGCGCGUAGGCGGCUUGAUAAGUCGGGGGUGAAAGCCUGUGGCCUCAACCACAGAAUUGCCUUCGAUACUGUCGAGCUUGAGACCGGAAGAGGUAAGUGGAACUGCGAGUGUAGAGGUGAAAUUCGUAGAUAUUCGCAAAGAACACCAGUGGCGAAGGCGGCGUCCUGGACCAACACUGACACUGAUGAGCGAAAGCCAAGGGGAGCAAACGGG